rnacentral:rRNA from 1 species
GAUGAACGCUGGCGGCGUGCCUAAUACAUGCAAGUCGAGCGAACAGACGAGGAUCUUGCUCCUCUGACGUUAGCGGCGGACGGGUGAGUAACACGUGGAUAACCUACCUAUAAGACUGGGAUAACUUCGGGAAACCGGAGCUAAUACCGGAUCAUAUAUUGAACCGCAUGGUUCAAUAGUGAAAGACGGUUUUGCUGUCACUUAUAGAUGGAUCCGCGCCGCAUUAGCUAGUUGGUAAGGUAACGGCUUACCAAGGCAACGAUGCGUAGCCGACCUGAGAGGGGGAUAGGCCAAACUGGAACUGGGACACGGUCCAGACUCCUACGGGAGGCAGCAGGAGGGAAUCUUCAGCAAUGGGCGAAAGCUUGACGGAGCAACGCCGCGGGAGUGAUGAAGGUCUUCGGAUCGUAAAACGCUGUUAUUAGGGAAGAACAAAUGUGUAAGUAACCAUGCACGUCUUGACGGUACCUAAGCAGAAAGCCACGGCAAACUACGU